AAGCCCCGGAGAUCUCAAAUCUCUUUUUCAAGUUUGCAACUUGACGUGAUAACACCUCGGGGCU
rnacentral:tRNA from 1 species